rnacentral:rRNA from 1 species
UACGGGAGGCAGCAGUGGGGAAUAUUGCACAAUGGGGGAAACCCUGAUGCAGCGACGCCGCGUGAGCGAAGAAGUAUUUCGGUAUGUAAAGCUCUAUCAGCAGGGAAGAAAAUGACGGUACCUGACUAAGAAGCCCCGGCUAACUACGUGCCAGCAGCCGCGGUAAUACGUAGGGGGCAAGCGUUAUCCGGAUUUACUGGGUGUAAAGGGAGCGUAGACGGAGCAGCAAGUCUGAUGUGAAAACCCGGGGCUCAACCCCGGGACUGCAUUGGAAACUGUUGAUCUGGAGUGCCGGAGAGGUAAGCGGAAUUCCUAGUGUAGCGGUGAAAUGCGUAGAUAUUAGGAGGAACACCAGUGGCGAAGGCGGCUUACUGGACGGUAACUGACGUUGAGGCUCGAAAGCGUGGGGAGCAAACAGGAUUAGAUACCCUGGUAGUCCACGCCGUAAACGAUGACUACUAGGUGUCGGGUGGCAAAGCCAUUCGGUGCCGCAGCCAACGCAAUAAGUAGUCCACCUGGGGAGUACGUUCGCAAGAAUGAAACUCAAAGGAAUUGACGG